GUAGGGAAUAUUGGGCAAUGGAGGCAACUCUGACCCAGCCAUGCCGCGUGCAGGAUGACGGCCCUCUGGGUUGUAAACUGCUUUUAUACGGGAAGAAAAAAUACUACGUGUAGUAUACUGACGGUACCGUAAGAAUAAGGAUCGGCUAACUCCGUGCCAGCAGCCGCGGUAAUACGGAGGAUCCAAGCGUUGUCCGGACUUAUUGGGUUUAAAGUGUGCGUAGGCGGAUCUUUAAGUCAGUGGUGAAAGCCUGCAGCUUAACUGUAGAAUUGCCAUUGAAACUGAAGAGCUUGAAUGUGGUUAAAGGAGGCGGAAUGUAUCAUGUAGCGGUGAAAUGCUUAGAUAUGAUACAGAACACCGAUAGCGAAGGCAGCUUGCUGAACCAUUAUUGACGCUGAGGCACGAAAGCGUGGGGAGCGAACAGGAUUAGAUACCCGAGUAGUCC
rnacentral:rRNA from 1 species